GAAAGUAGAAAAGGGCGCAAGGCGGAUGCCUUGGCUCACGGAGGCGAUGAAGGACGUGAUAAGCUGCGAUAAGCCUCGGGUAGAUGCAAAUAAUCUCUGAUCCGAGGAUUUCCGAAUGGGACAACCCGUCUGUCUGAAGGACAGUCACUAUCUUAAGAUAGAGCUAACGCAGGGAACUGAAACAUCUUAGUACCUGCAGGAAGAGAAAAUAAACUAAUGAUUCCCCUAGUAGUGGCGAGCGAACGGGGAAGAGCCCAAACCAUGACUGUAGCAAUGCAGCCGUGGGGUUGUAGGACCACGCUGUGGCAAGAUGCUUGUGAGAGGAACGUUCUGGAAAGAAUGACCAUAGAGGGUGACAGUCCCGUACUCGAAGCACGCUGAAGCCUAGUGGUAUCCUGAGUAACGCGGAACACGAGGAAUUCUGCGCGAAUCCGCCGGGACCAUCCGGUAAGGCUAAAUACUCCCGUGAGACCGAUAGCGAACCAGUACUGUGAAGGAAAGGUGAAAAGAACCCCGAGCAGGGGAGUGAAAUAGAUCCUGAAACCUUGCGCCUACAAGCGGUCGGAGCUGCUUUUGCAGUGACGGCGUGCCUUUUGCAUAAUGAACCUACGAGUUACCAUCUCUGGCGAGGUUAAGCUCCAUGAGGAGCGCAACCGCAGUGAAAGCGAGCCUGAACAGGGCGUCAAGUCAGAGGGGGUAGACGCGAAACCAAGUGAUCUACACUUGUCCAGGUUGAAGUCCCGGUAACACGGGAUGGAGGACCGAACCAAUAAGCGUUGAAAAGCUUCUGGAUGAGAUGAGUGUAGGAGUGAAAGGCCAAUCAAACUUGGAGAUAGCUCGUACUCCCCGAAAGGCAUUUAGGUGCCGCGUCGGAUGGUCACCGUGAGAGGUAGAGCGACCGAUAGGACAAGAGGGCUUCACCGCCUAUCGAGUCCUGACGAACUCCGAAUGCUCACGGUCCGCAGUCCGGCAGUAAGGGGGCGGGUGCUAAGGUCCGUCCCCGAGAGGAGAAGAAUCCAGACCGCCGUCUAAGGUCCCGGAAUUCUGUCUAAGUUAGUCUAACGAAGUGGGGUCUCAGUGACAGCCAGGAUGUUGGCUUGGAAGCAGCCAUUCAUUCAAAGAGUGCGUAACAGCUCACUGGUCGAGAGUCCCCGCAUGGAUAAUAAUCGGGUAUAAGACAGAUACCGAAGGCGCGGGAUAGCAAUAAUAAAAGUAUCGGUAGGGGAGCAUUCCAUAUCCGUCGAAUGGUGCGGGUAACCUAUCCUGGAGGAUAUGGAAAAGCAAAUGUAGGUAUAAGUAACGAUAAGGAGGGUAAGAUUCCCUCCCGCCGCAAGACUAAGGUUUCCCGGGCAAUGUCAAUCAUCCCGGGGUCAGUCGGGUCCUAAGUCUCAGCCGAACGGCGAGGGCGAUGGCAGACACGGUCAACAUUCCGUGACUACCUUUAGGAGCGAUGCGGAGACGGAGCAGUGAAACUUCCGCGAGCCGACGGAAUGGCUCGUUAAAGAGUGUAGGUGUAGAUGGCUGUAGGCAAAUCCGCAGUCAGAGCCGAACUUGAAAGUACGGGGUCCUCUUCGGAGGAACCUGAUAGCGAGGGUAAGCAUACUCCCGAGAAAAUCCGCUAAGCAAUCCUGAAGGUACCCGUACCGUAAACGGACACACGUAGUCGGGUAGAACAUACUAAGGCGUUGAGAGAUUCAUGGUUAAGGAACUAGGCAAACUGACCCCGUAACUUCGGGAUAAGGGGUCCUCGUGAAUAGCGAGGCGCAGAGAAUAGGUCCAGGCAACUGUUUAACAAAAACACAGGGCUGUGCAAACUCGAAAGAUGAGGUAUACAGCCUGACACCUGCCCGGUGCCGGAAGGUUAAGAGGAGAUGUCAACCGCAAGGCGAAGCAUUGAAUUGAAGCCCCGGUAAACGGCGGCCGUAACUAUAACGGUCCUAAGGUAGCGAAAUUCCUUGUCGGGUAAGUUCCGACCUGCACGAAUGGUGUAAUGAUCUGGACGCUGUCUCAACCGUGAGCUCAGUGAAAUUGUAGUAUCGGUGAAGAUGCCGAUUACCCGCGAUGGGACGAAAAGACCCCGUGAACCUUUACUAUAGCUUAUCAUUGAAUCUGGGCACGUGAUGUGUAGGAUAGGUCGGAGGCUUUGAAGCAGGUACGCCAGUAUUUGUGGAGCCGCUGUUGAAAUACGACCCUUUAUUUGUUUGGAUUCUAACCCGUGGAUACGGGGACAUUGAUUGGUGGGUAGUUUGACUGGGGUGGUCGCCUCCAAAAGCGUAACGGAGGCUUCUAAAGGUGCCCUCCGGCCGAUUGGUAACCGGCCUUAGAGUGUAAUGGCAUAAGGGCGCUUGACUGGGAGACUGACAAGUCGAUCAGGUAGGAAACUAGAGCAUAGUGAUCCGGUGUUUCCGUAUGGAAGGGACAUCGCUCAAAGGAUAAAAGGUACUCCGGGGAUAACAGGCUGAUCCCUCCCAAGAGCUCAUAUCGACGGAGUGGUUUGGCACCUCGAUGUCGGCUCGUCACAUCCUGGGGCUGGAGAAGGUCCCAAGGGUUGGGCUGUUCGCCCAUUAAAGUGGCACGCGAGCUGGGUUCAGAACGUCGUGAGACAGUUCGGUCUCUAUCUAUCGUGGGCGUAUGAAAUUUGCGUGGCUCUGACACUAGUACGAGAGGACCGUGUUGGACAGACCUCUGGUUUGCCGGUUGUGCCGCCAGGUGCAUUGCCGGGUAUCUAAGUCUGGAUCGGAUAAGUGCUGAAAGCAUCUAAGUACGAAGCCGGCCACAAGAUUAGAUUUCUCAGGGUCGUUGUAGACUACGACGUUGAUAGGAUGCAGGUGUAAAGAUGGAGACAUCAAAGCCGAGCAUUACUAAUUGCCCGUCCACUUUCCUUA
rnacentral:rRNA from 1 species